CACGUAGGGCGCAAGCGUUGUCCGGAAUCAUUGGGCGUAAAGAGCUCGUAGGCGGUCUGUUGCGUCCGCUGUGAAAACUCGGGGCUUAACCCCGAGCCUGCAGUGGAUACGGGCAGACUAGAGGUAGGUAGGGGAGAAUGGAAUUCCCGGUGUAGCGGUGAAAUGCGCAGAUAUCGGGAGGAACACCGGUGGCGAAGGCGGCAUCCUGGACCGAGAUUGACACUGAUGAGCGAAAGCCAGGGGAGCAAACGGG
rnacentral:rRNA from 1 species